rnacentral:ncRNA from 1 species
UUAGUUUGAUUCUAACUAAAAGAUUAGUAGUACUUAAAAAUUUUAUGCUUAACAUUUUGUAAAACAUUAACUAAUUUAUCUAGAUAUAACGAUACUUUAACAGCAGAAAUUAGGAUUAUAAUAAUACGCAAAAGCGUGAAACAGUUUAAAUACUAUUAUUGGUCGAAUUCGUGCCAGCAGCAGCGGUUAUACGAUGGAUAUUUAACAAAUAAAAUCUGUAUAGGUAAAAUAUAUAUAAAUUAAAGGUAAAAUUUCCUUGAUCUAUAAAGUACUAAUAUUACCAAAAACAAACUAUAAAUUAAAACAAGGAUUAGAUACCCUUUUAUUAUUAGCUUAAAAUAAGAUUGGAGACUACAAGCAAUAGCUUAAAAACCCAAGAAAUUUGGCGGUGUUUUAUUCAAUCAGGGGGGCCUGUACCUUAAAUCGAUAGUCCACGUUAAACUCUACCUAACUUUAAUAUUUACUAGCCUGUGUACUGCCGUUUAAUAAGCCCUUAAGGUUUCUUAUAAUUAAUAAAAAAUUAUAAGUCAGGUCAAAGUGCAGCAUAUAGUUAGGCAUCAUAUGGGUUACAUUCUUAAAGAUAAGUUAAAUUUAUAGAAUAAUUUCUAUAAUAAAUUUAGGACUUGAUAGUAAUUAUAUAAUUAUUUAUACUAUAAUGAAUAUGAACUUAAAACAAGUACACAUCGCCCGUCACUCCUUUAUAUAGGAUAAGUCGUAACAUAGUAGAUGUAAUGGAAAUUGCAUCUGU